UACGGAGGGGGCUAGCGUUGUUCGGAAUUACUGGGCGUAAAGCGCGCGUAGGCGGCUUUGUAAGUUAGAGGUGAAAGCCCGGAGCUCAACUCCGGAAUUGCCUUUAAGACUGCAUCGCUAGAAUCAUGGAGAGGUUAGUGGAAUUCCGAGUGUAGAGGUGAAAUUCGUAGAUAUUCGGAAGAACACCAGUGGCGAAGGCGACUAACUGGACAUGUAUUGACGCUGAGGUGCGAAAGCGUGGGGAGCAAACGGG
rnacentral:rRNA from 1 species